UUUUUAUGCACUUUUAAUUUGACUAAACAACUGCAUUUAAUGGAGGUCAUUGUGGCAAAACUUGGGGGGCCAAGUUGUCGUUUUUUUUUUUCCUGUCACCAUCCCAAAAAAUUCAUUCAGCAAUGCUGUCACUUUCUCUUUCACCUUCCUGCUCAUUUCCUCCCUUCCCAAAAGCGGAAUACAAGAUAAUCAAGUAGCCAGCUGACAUCAAGGACAGUCGAUGAGAACUUUGUCGUAUCGGGCAAGAUAAGCAAAAAUUUUACAAAGUAAAGUAUCAUAUGAUUGGAAAACGCAAAAGAAGAUGAAUGCUUGCAGAAAAGUCCCAGAAUAUACUCUGUAUCAUUCCUUUGUGGGGGGAAAAAAAAGAUCUGACAACACUGGUGUGUAAAGGGCGUGGUGUACAUGCCAGUAAUUUAUUCGUCUUUGGCUGCACUGUAUGUUUUACAGUAGACUGGGACCCAAAUCAGUCACUUCAACUGCGGCAAGCAAAAGCUUCAGUAAACUGUGACGUCACCCUUACAACGAGCAGCGAGCCAACGCAGCAGAUGUGACUCAAAUGCUGAGCGAUACAGGAAAUAGAUCCCAAACACGAUGUGGACAUUUUGACCGUGACAACACAAAACGUGGCAACCACACUAACUCUCUCUCUCUCUCUCUCUUUCUCUAUCUAUCUAUCUAUCUAUCUAUCUUGUGAUUCUGCUAUUCGAGACUCAAGAAAAUGGUAUUGUAGCAGCAAAAUUCACUUUUCAUACAGAACAUAAGUGCAGAAGUGCAAUUUUCGAUUUAGUGUAAGAUUUGGAUUAUAAAUAUGGAGUCAAAAGGUCACCAGAAUAUUUUGAAACUGCUCUCAUUAUAAUUACACUGCAAGGCUAACUCACUUCAUGCUAUAACCACAAUAAUAAACAGAUCCUUAUCCCUUUAAGGGACAGCGGUUA